rnacentral:tRNA from 1 species
GCCUCUGUAGUUUAACGGAUAGAACAUCGGUUUCCGGAACCGACGAUGAGGGUUCGAUUCCCUCCGGAGGCA